GGGCGUAUAGCUCAGGGGUAGAGCGCCCGCUUCGCAUGCGGGAGGCCUUGGGUUCAAUUCCCAAUUCGUCCA